GACAGAGGGGGCAAGCGUUGCUCGGAAUUACUGGGCGUAAAGGGCACGUAGGCGGGAUGGCAAGUCGGUCGUGAAAUCCUUCGGCUCAACCGAAGAACGUCGAUCGAUACUGCUGUUCUUGAGGAUUGCAGAGGAGACUGGAAUUCCCGGUGUAGCGGUGAAAUGUGUAGAGAUCGGGAGGAACACCGGUGGCGAAGGCGGGUCUCUGGGCAAUUCCUGACGCUGAGGCGCGAAAGCGUGGGGAGCAAACGGG
rnacentral:rRNA from 1 species